GGGUGGUAAAUUCCAUCUAAAGCUAAAUAUUGGCGAGAGACCGAUAGCGAACAAGUACAGUGAUGGAAAGAUGAAAAGAACUUUGAAAAGAGAGUGAAAAAGUACGUGAAAUUGUUGAAAGGGAAGGGCAUUUGAUCAGACAUGGCGUUUGCUUCGGCUUUCGCUGGGCCAGCAUCAGUUUUAGCGGUUGGAUAAAUCCUCGGGAAUGUGGCUCUGCUUCGGUAGAGUGUUAUAGCCCGUGGGAAUACAGCCAGCUGGGACUGAGGAUUGCGACUUUUGUCAAGGAUGCUGGCGUAAUGGUUAAAUGCCGCCCGUCUUGAAACACGGAC
rnacentral:rRNA from 1 species